rnacentral:rRNA from 1 species
AUUGAACGCUGGCGGCAUGCCUUACACAUGCAAGUCGAACGGCAGCACGGGUGCUUGCACCUGGUGGCGAGUGGCGAACGGGUGAGUAAUACAUCGGAACGUACCUUAUCGUGGGGGAUAACGCAGCGAAAGCUGUGCUAAUACCGCAUACGCCCUGAGGGGGAAAGCGGGGGAUCGCAAGACCUCGCGCGAUUAGAGCGGCCGAUGCCUGAUUAGCUAGUUGGUGGGGUAAAAGCCCACCAAGGCGACGAUCAGUAGCUGGUCUGAGAGGACGAUCAGCCACACUGGGACUGAGACACGGCCCAGACUCCUACGGGAGGCAGCAGUGGGGAAUUUUGGACAAUGGGGGCAACCCUGAUCCAGCAAUGCCGCGUGAGUGAAGAAGGCCUUCGGGUCGUAAAGCUCUUUUGUCAGGGAAGAAACACCGGCUCUAACACAGUCCGGGAAUGACGGUACCUGAAGAAUAAGCACCGGCUAACUUCGUGCCAGCCGCCGCAGUAA